rnacentral:rRNA from 1 species
AUUGAACGCUGGCGGCAGGCCUAACACAUGCAAGUCGAACGAGUGGCGGACGGGUAAGUAAUGUCUGGGAAACUGACUGAUGGAGGGGGAUCACUACUGGAAACGGUUGCUACUACAGCAUACCAUUGGGUGUGCCCAGAUGGGAUUAGCUAGUAGGUGGGGUAAAGGCUCACCUAGGCGACGAUACCUAGCUGGUCUGAGAGGAUGACCAGUCACACUGUAACUGUGACACGGUCCAGACUCCUACGUGAGGCAGCAUUGGGGAAUAUUGCACAAUGGGCGCAAGCCUGGUUCAGCCAUGCGGCGUGUAGGAAGAAGGGCUUCGGGUUGUAAAGUACUUUCAUCGUGGAGGCGUUACCCACCGAAUAAGCACCGGCUAACUCCGUGCCAGCAGCCGCGGUAAUUC